UGUCCUCAUCUGUGAAAUGAGGGAGUUGC
rnacentral:piRNA from 1 species